rnacentral:misc_RNA from 1 species
GGGGUGGUAACUUUGACAGUACUCAAGAGAUCAUGGUAUGUGGACAGAUUGGGUUCAAAAACAAACAUGCCAGCGUUGAAGUAAAGGGGAGGUUUAGGACCCAUCUCAGUAGGCCACUGAACCCUAUCAGGGCACUGUUGGCAGUAGCCAAUCUUGUGCUGCAGGGAGUGACUCCAUGUCUGUUCACAGAAACAGUCCAUAACACCAUAAAAGUAGCCAUCUUGCACGUCAAAGAGGUGGUCUAUAUUCUCAAACACUUGGAUGUCACCAUCCAAAUAUAUCAU